UUCCCUCAGUGUGACAGUCAACUUCCUGUUGCCUGCAAGAUGUAGGGCUCUCAGCUCCAGCACCACAUCUGCCUGUGUCCUGCCAUGCUCCCAUCCUUAUGAUAGUGGACUGAGCCUCUGAAACUAGUGGAUUGAUUCCCAGGAAGGUGAAUGUUGAACACACAAGGAGAACACUGUGACCCGUCUCUGCAGUUGUCACUCUGAACUGUCCUUACUCUGAAGACAGCUGAGAACAAAAUAAACAAAAUAAAUGACAGCAUUGGACAUGGGAGCUGCCGCCACAGAUUAUUUAGUAAUCCACAAUCUUUAUUGCUGAAGAGGGUUCAAAUAGAAUUCCCUGUCUCUGGCUAAGAACCAAAAGAAGACAAUAGAAAUCAUCUACUAUGAUUUGGCUGCAUGAUGAUGAGGCUGCAUGGGGAACUACAGCAAGGACACCCUCGCCAGAUGCUAAACAGAUGCUGGCCCUGUGCUCUUGGACUCCUCCACUUCCAGAACUGUGAGCCACACAAGCUCUAUUCUGAACCAGCUACCUCGUCUUGGGUUUCUUGACAAAGCAACAGAACACAGAAGACGACAGAUGUUAAGCAAAUGAUAGCAUGUUAAAUGGGAAAAGACAGAAAAGUACAUACGCAACACAAUGCAAUCCCAAUUGUGGUAACUUUCUCUUUUCUGUUUCACAGUUGAAAGGAAAUAAUCAAAAAUGUUAAUAUUGAUUGUGUCUGUUAGGCAGAAUAUACGUGAUUUUCAUUUUCUUUCUUAAGAUUUUGGAGCUUUCUCUAAAAUUAAGCAAUCAUUACUUCUAAAACCAGACCAAAACAAAAACCAAAAACCAAAAAAAAAAAAAAACCAAAAAAACAAAAAAACAAAAAA